AAUGAAGACCCAUAUAAUGAGGGUCUUAUUAAUAAUCCUACCCUUUGUGAAUUUGUUUGUUUUUAUAAACUGUGUCUUUCCCUGUUUUUUGAUGGAGCUUGUUAAAAAAGCAAAAUCAAAUUCAGGGGAAUGGCAAAACCUUUUUUUAAAAUUAAACAUUUUGUAUUCAUUUGUCUAAAAAUUAUUUUUAUAAUAUAAAAACAACUUUUGACAAUGGAUCUCUUGGUUCUCGCAACGAUGAAGAACGCAGCAAAAUGCGAUAAGUAAUGUGAAUUGCAGAAUACGUGAAUCAUCGAGUCUUCGAACGCAUAUUGCACUUUUUUGGUUUACCAAAAAAGUAUGUCUGUUUGAGUAUCAGUAAAAUAUUCUCAUAAAAACUUUUUUGUUUUUAUGGUUAUGAGUGUUUUACAACGAUAAACAAGUUGUUUCACUUUAAAUUCUUUGUCUUUUAAAAAAUCAUUUAAAAACUGAUUUUUUUUUAAAAUUGGAUAAAAUUUUCCUGUAAAAAAGGAAUAACCUAAACAAUUUUAAUAAAUUAAUUAGUUUGAUUUUUUUAAAAGAUCUAACAAGGAAAAAAAAAGUAAAAAUGAACUUGAUCUCAAAUCAGAUAAGAGUACCCGCUGAACUUAAGCAUAUCAAUAAGCGGAGGAAAAGAAACUAACUAGGAUUCCCUCAGUAACGGCGAGUGAAGCGGGAAGAGCUCAAAUUUGAAAUCUUCAAGGUUCUACCUUGACGAAUUGUAGUUUAAAGAAGUGUUUUCUGUUGGAGUUUUGGUAAAAGUUCUUUGGAAUAGGACAUCAUAGAGGGUGAGAAUCCCGUAUUUGACCAUUAUUUCCAACUUUGUGAUACACUUUCAAAGAGUCGGAUUGUUUGGGAAUGCAGUCCAAAAUGGGUGGUAAAUUUCAUCUAAAGCUAAAUACUGGCGAGAGACCGAUAGCGAACAAGUACCGUGAGGGAAAGAUGAAAAGAACUUUGAAAAGAGAGUUAAACAGUACGUGAAAUUGUCAAAAGGGAAGCGUUUGACACCAGUGUUGUUUUCUCGAAAAUCAAUUAAAAAUGGCAGGAUUUUGUGUUGUAUUGACUUUAUCAGCUUUCUGCACUUUUUUCUGUCUUUUUUAAUGCACUUUUCGUUUAACAAGUCAACAUCAAUUUCUUUUGUUGUAAAAGGGUCAUUGGAAGGUGGCUUUCUUUUCGGAGAAAGUGUUUAUAGCCUUUGGCCUCUGCAAUCGGAGAGAUUGAGGUCUGCAGCGUAGAUCCUUCGGGUUAGAUGCAUUUGUGCUAAGUUAUAGCCUUUCAUAGACAACUUGUUGACUAUGAUCAGUCAUGUAGCUUACUCGCUUAUGUCAUUUUACCUACGCUUAGGAUGUUGAU
rnacentral:misc_RNA from 1 species